AGUGAACGCUGGCGGUAGGCCUAACACAUGCAAGUCGAACGGCAGCACAGUAAGAGCUUGCUCUUACGGGUGGCGAGUGGCGGACGGGUGAGGAAUACAUCGGAAUCUACUUUUUCGUAGGGGAUAACGUAGGGAAACUUACGCUAAUACCGCAUACGACCUACGGGUGAAAGCAGGGGAUCUUCGGACCUUGCGCGAUUGAAUGAGCCGAUGUCGGAUUAGCUAGUUGGCGGGGUAAAGGCCCACCAAGGCGACGAUCCGUAGCUGGUCUGAGAGGAUGAUCAGCCACACUGGAACUGAGACACGGUCCAGACUCCUACGGGAGGCAGCAGUGGGGAAUAUUGGACAAUGGGCGCAAGCCUGAUCCAGCCAUACCGCGUGGGUGAAGAAGGCCUUCGGGUUGUAAAGCCCUUUUGUUGGGAAAGAAAAGCAGCAGGUUAAUACCCCGCUGUUCUGACGGGACCCAAAGAAUAAGCACCGGCUAACUUCGU
rnacentral:rRNA from 1 species